rnacentral:misc_RNA from 1 species
GGCGGCCAGAAUCAAAUGAAGGGAGUGGCUUUUUUGUCACUGCCCAAUUAUCAGCCUCAUCCGCUCGCGAGGGCUGAUCAUAGUCGGAAACCCUAGGAGGUGCACCCCUUCGUUCUUCAUCAAAUCCACCAUACUGCCUUCUACCACCUCCCCAUGACCCAUCGGUGUCAUCGCGGUCACGCAUACGACCUGGAGGUGGACCAGGUCCGCCCAUAAUUGGAAACCCCGCCACCUCGACGGCCAUACUGCGUUUCCUCAGGGGAACGUUCUUGCGGACCAGUAGGAAGCCGAAGCAUCUCAUCAGUAGUUAAGCCUUUAGAUUCUACCCCGCGACCACCACCUAAGCCACCGGAAGAGGAGUAGAACUCGUUGAGAGACAUUUUCUUCUUCUUAGGCUUGGCACUGACGGCCUCUUUGAGGCUGGGGAAGUUCUGAGACUCGGCGGAAGCGCCGCCGGAAGUUGCGGCGGGUUUGGGGGGGGGCCCCUCCCUCCCCCCCCCCCCAUCGGCGGCCCAGUUGCCGAUGGGGCCCCAAGCCUUAUUAGACAUUGGUUAACAGCAAAAUAAAAAAUCAAAUUAAAGAUCUGAGAAAUGAAAACGAGGAAGUGAAGAGAUCGUUAGCGUAUGCAAUCGGAUAAUAUGGAGAUAAUGGAUAGGCAAUGAGCUGGGGCUCCGUCAAGGGAGCCGGAGCUCCGAGAACAUGCGAUGAAGAAGGGGAGGGAACGUCACAGUUGUUACUGUGUGCAAGGGUUGGUUUUGGUUUUGCCCUUUCUGUUUCCAGGGACCAGAAAAAAAAUAAAUUGAAGAACAAAAUUUUAAAUGCUUUUUAUAGAGAGGAGCGGAGAGGAGGGCGAUGAGGAGUUGGGAGUUAGAUCACGCGCGGGUGAUGAAAGUGGUAGUCACGGUAUCAUCAGAUGGUGGUGGUGGUGUGGUGGUUCCUGUAAGUGUCCAG